GGUUUCCGUAGGUGAACCUGCGGAGGGAUCAUUACCGAGUGCGGGCCCCUCGGGGCCCAACCUCCCACCCGUGUUGCCCGAACCUAUGUUGCCUCGGCGGGCCCCGCGCCCGCCGACGGCCCCCCUGAACGCUGUCUGAAGUUGCAGUCUGAGACCUAUAACGAAAUUAGUUAAAACUUUCAACAACGGAUCUCUUGGUUCCGGCAUCGAUGAAGAACGCAGCGAAAUGCGAUAACUAAUGUGAAUUGCAGAAUUCAGUGAAUCAUCGAGUCUUUGAACGCACAUUGCGCCCUCUGGUAUUCCGGAGGGCAUGCCUGUCCGAGCGUCAUUGCUGCCCUCAAGCCCGGCUUGUGUGUUGGGCCCCGUCCCCCCCGCCGGGGGGACGGGCCCGAAAGGCAGCGGCGGCACCGCGUCCGGUCCUCGAGCGUAUGGGGCUUCGUCACCCGCUCUAGUAGGCCCGGCCGGCGCCAGCCGACCCCCAACCUUUAAUUAUCUCAGGUUGACCUCGGAUCAGGUAGGGAUACCCGCUGAACUUAAGCAU
rnacentral:rRNA from 1 species